AACGGCGAGUGAAGAGGAAAGAGCUCAAAGUUGGAACCUGUUUGGCUUAGCUAAACCGGAUUGUAAACUGUAGAAGUGUUUUCCUGACACGCCUGGUAAAAAAGUCCUUUGGAACAGGGCAUCAUAGAGGGUGAGAAUCCCGUGUUUGGCCAGAGCUGUUGUCUUUUGUGAUACAUUUUCAAAGAGUCAGGUUGUUUGGGAAUGCAGCCUAAAUUGGGUGGUAAAUCUCACCUAAAGCUAAAUAUUUGCGAGAGACCGAUAGCGAACAAGUACCGUGAGGGAAAGAUGAAAAGAACUUUGAAAAGAGAGUUAAACAGUAUGUGAAAUUGUUAAAAGGGAACCGUUUGGAGCCAGACUGGCUUGACUGUAAUCAAUCUAGGCUUCGGCCUGGAUGCACUUGCGGUUUAUGCCUGCCAACGACAAUUUUUUUUGAGGGAAAAAACUAUUAGGAAUGUGGCCCCCUUCGGGGGGUGUUAUAGCCUUUUAGAAAAUACCUUGAAUUGGAUUGAGGAACGCAGUGAAUGCCUUUAGGCAAGAUUGCUGGGUGCUUUCGUUAAUAAAUGCUAGAAUUUCUGCCUUGGGUGGUGCUAGUGUUUAAAGAUGGAACUCGCCUGGUAUAUUUUUUAUUCGCUUAGGUUGUUGGCUUAAUGACUCUAAAUGACCCGUCUUGAAACACGGACCAAGGAGUCCACCAUUAGUGCGAGUAUUUGGGUGACAAACCCAUAUGCGUAAGGAAACUGAUUGAUACGAAAUCUUUAAGAUGGCAGUAUCACCCGGCGAUGACGUUUUAUACUGAACCGACCGAGGUAAAGCACUAAUGAUGGGACCCGAAAGAUGGUGAACUAUGCCUGAAUAGGGUGAAGCCGGAGGAAACUCCGGUGGAGGCUCGUAGCGAUUUCUGACGUGCAAAUCGAUCGUCAAAUUUGGGUAAUA
rnacentral:rRNA from 1 species